UACAGAGGGUGCAAGCGUUAAUCGGAAUUACUGGGCGUAAAGCGUGCGUAGGCGGUUAUUUAAGUCGGGUGUGAAAGCCCCGGGCUCAACCUGGGAAUUGCAUUCGAGACUGAAUAGCUAGGGUGCGGAAGAGGGAAGCGGAAUUUCCGGUGUAGCGGUGAAAUGCGUAGAUAUCGGAAGGAACACCGGUGGCGAAAGCGGCUUCCUGGUCCAGCACCGACGUUCAGGCACGAAAGCGUGGGGAGCAAACAGG
rnacentral:rRNA from 1 species